rnacentral:rRNA from 1 species
UAACGCGUGAGGAACCUGCCUUGAAGAGGGGGACAACAGUUGGAAACGACUGCUAAUACCGCAUGAAGCAUAGGGGUCGCAUGAUCUUUAUGCCAAAGAUUUAUCGCUUCAAGAUGGCCUCGCGUCUGAUUAGCUAGUUGGCGGGGUAACGGCCCACCAAGGCGACGAUCAGUAGCCGGACUGAGAGGUUGAACGGCCACAUUGGGACUGAGAUACGGCCCAGACUCCUACGGGAGGCAGCAGUGGGGAAUAUUGGGCAAUGGGCGCAAGCCUGACCCAGCAACGCCGCGUGAAGGAAGAAGGCUUUCGGGUUGUAAACUUCUUUUAAGAGGGAAGAGCAGAAGACGGUACCUCUAGAAUAAGCCACGGCUAACUACGUGCCAGCAGCCGCGGUAAUACGUAGGUGGCAAGCGUUGUCCGGAUUUACUGGGUGUAGAGGGCGUGCAGCCGGGUCUGCAAGUCAGAUGUGAAAUCCAUGGGCUCAACCCAUGAACUGCAUUUGAAACUGUAGAUCUUGAGUGUCGGAGGGGCAAUCGGAAUUCCUAGUGUAGCGGUGAAAUGCGUAGAUAUUAGGAGGAACACCAGUGGCGAAGGCGGAUUGCUGGACGAUAACUGACGGUGAGGCGCGAAAGUGUGGGGAGCAAACAGGAUUAGAUACCCUGGUAGUCCACACUGUAAACGAUGAAUACUAGGUGU